GAUGAACGCUGGCGGCGUGCCUAAUACAUGCAAGUCGAGCGAACAGACGAGGAGCUUGCUCCUCUGACGUUAGCGGCGGACGGGUGAGUAACACGUGGAUAACCUACCUAUAAGACUGGGAUAACUUCGGGAAACCGGAGCUAAUACCGGAUAAUAUAUUGAACCGCAUGGUUCAAUAGUGAAAGACGGUUUUGCUGUCACUUAUAGAUGGAUCCGCGCCGCAUUAGCUAGUUGGUAAGGUAACGGCUUACCAAGGCGACGAUGCGUAGCCGACCUGAGAGGGUGAUCGGCCACACUGGAACUGAGACACGGUCCAGACUCCUACGGGAGGCAGCAGUAGGGAAUCUUCCGCAAUGGGCGAAAGCCUGACGGAGCAACGCCGCGUGAGUGAUGAAGGUCUUCGGAUCGUAAAACUCUGUUAUUAGGGAAGAACAAAUGUGUAAGUAACUAUGCACGUCUUGACGGUACGUAAUCAGAAAGCCACGGCUAACUACGUG
rnacentral:rRNA from 1 species